rnacentral:rRNA from 1 species
GAUCCUGGCUCAGGAUGAACGCUAGCGACAGGCUAACACAUGCAAGUCGAGGGGCAGCACGGGAGUAGCAAUACAACUGGUGGCGACCGGCGCACGGGUGAGUAACGCGUAUGCAACCUACCUAUCAGAGGGGAAUAACCCGGCGAAAGUCGGACUAAUACCGCAUAAAACAGGGGCACCGCAUGGUGAUAUUUGUUAAAGAGAUUCGCUGAUAGAUGGGCAUGCGUUCCAUUAGGUAGUUGGUGAGGUAACGGCUCACCAAGCCGACGAUGGAUAGGGGAACUGAGAGGUUGGUCCCCCACACUGGUACUGAGACACGGACCAGACUCCUACGGGAGGCAGCAGUGAGGAAUAUUGGUCAAUGGGCGGGAGCCUGAGUCAGCCAAGUCGCCGUGAAGGAAGAAGGAUCUAUGGUUCGUAAACUUCUUUUGCAGGGGAAUAAAGUGCAGGACGUGUCCUGUUUUGUAUGUACCCUGAGAAUAAGGAUCGGCUAACUCCGUGCCAGCCGCGGC